AUUGAACGCUGGCGGCAUGCCUUACACAUGCAAGUCGAACGGCAGCGCGGGGCAACCUGGCGUCGAGUGGCGAACGGGUGAGUAAUAUUUCGGAAUGGACCCCGAAGUUGUGGAUCACGUAUCGAAUGUUACGCCAAUACCGCAUACGAUCUACGGUUGUAAGCAGGAGACUGCAAUGCUUUAUGCCUUUUUUGCUGUCGCUAUCUGAUUAGCUAGUUGGUGAGGUAAAGGCUCACCAAGGCGACGAUCAGUAGCUGAUCUGAGAGGAGGACCAGCCACACUGGAACUGAGACACGGUCCAGACUCCUACGGGAGGCAGCAGUGGGGAAUUUUGGACAAUGGGCGCAAGCCUGAUCCAGCAAUGCCGCGUGAGUGAAGAAGGCCUUCGGGUUGUAAAGCUCUUUUGUCAGGGAAGAAACAGUAGAGACUAAUAUCCUUUGCUCAUGACGGUACCUGAAGAGUAAGCACCGGCUAACUACGUG
rnacentral:rRNA from 1 species